AACGAACGCUGGCGGCAUGCCUAACACAUGCAAGUCGAACGAGACCUCCCGGCCUAGUGGCGCUCCUGUGCUUACCGCGUGGUAACUUGCCCGUAGGUUCGGAACACUUCCCCGUAAGGUGUGCUAAUACCGGUGAAUGUAAUCCGGCCUAAGAUCUAUCGCCUUUGGAUGGGUCCUGGUUGGAUUAGCUAGUUGGUAGUGUAAAAGCCUACCAAGGGGAUGAUCCAGAGCUGGUCUGAUAGCAAGACCAACUAGGCUGGAACUGCGACACGGACCAGACUGCUACGGAGGGGAGCGGUGGGGAAUAUUAGAGGAGGAGCGAUAGCCUGAUCCAGCAAUGCCGCGUGAGUGGUGCAGGGCUUUGGGUUGUAAAGCUCUUUUACACGGGGUGAUAAUGACAGUACCGGGAGAAUAAGCACCGGCUAACUCCGUG
rnacentral:rRNA from 1 species